GCGAAAUGUACAGCUUGCCUUGUCUUCGUAUUUCGUAUUUGGUCACAUGCAAAUAUAUUAGUAAGGCCUCACUCUCUCUCUUCCAUUUGACUCUCUGUCUUCCCUCUAUAUUCAUUCAAACUCUUUCUCUCUUCCAGUAAGUAUUCUCUCUUUAUUCCCUCUACCUUGACCAUCUUUCUGAAGUAGUUUCUCUAUAUUCCCUCUAUCUCCAUCGUCGUUUUGGUUCAUGGAGAAAUUUAAGCUUUGUUUCUGGGUUUGCCGCUUGGAGAAUUGAAGCACUCUAGGCGAGUUAUCGUGAAGAUUUUGACGAAAGUUUGUAUUCCCCACAAGGUUAAAAAUAGAAAACCAUGAGAACGAAGUCAGUUGUGCGGUCAAAGAGCUGGAAACAUUUGGUGGAUCCAUCCAAGUGUCAAAGGAUCCAUCGACUUCUAAGCCUGGUAAACGGGUGACUGAAGUGAAGGUGAAGAAAAACUCAAAAAGGAUGCCAAAGCAACCCAAGACCAAGACGAUGUGAAUGAUGAAGAAUACAAUAGUAAUGGUCAACAUUCCGAUGAAGAUAGUGAAGAGGAGUCGUGCAAACCCGCUGAGUUCAUGAAGAUGAUGAUGGGGUUCAUGAAGAGUAAGAGUAAGAAGAGGAAAAGGCAAAAGGGUGAAAUAACUGAAGGGCAAAGGGUAGUGAGCGAAGGGGUGGUGUUGAAGACUCACUAUGAGAAUGUAGGAAAGCAGUACCCCAACAUUGUUUGAAGGGUUGAAUCCUUCUGCCAAUCAGUCUUUGUAUUUGAUUCAAGAAGACGCGAGUUAGUGACAGAAAUGGGUUUUAAAGGUCUCCUGGAUCUUGACAUGACAAAUAUACCGAGGCAAUUUUGCUAUUGGUUGAUGACAAGAGUGCUUCCUGAUGGCACCAUGGUGUUUGACAACAGGGAAAUUUUACCUUUAGGUCCUGCUCAAGUGAGCUCCGUACUUGGGUUACCUAUGGGUGCUCAACCAGUCCCUUUUGAUGUUGUUGACAAUGAUGAGGAGCAGGUGCAGAGGUUGCGUAGGAUUUUUGAGUUGUACGGGGUUGGUGCGAACAAAGAAACCAUAUCCUUGAAAUCUGCUUUGGAUGCUUUAUGUCCACUGGAUGAUUCUGGUGACCCGUUUCCCCUUGCAGAUGAAGUUGAAGAGGAGUAUUUCAUGACAGCCUUUCUACUUGUAGCCCUUGGAAAAGUGGUUUGUACCACCACUAAUAAUUCAAACUUUCCAAAGUCACUCAUUCCAGCAUUGACAGUGGCUACUGAGGCUAUCAAGUAUGACUGGUGUUUGCUGACUUUCGAAUGGCUAUGCGACACGGCUAAAAGAUUUCAAAGGAAGUUCCAGAAAGAUGGUUAUAGGUCCUUGUUGUGGGGGCAGUUUUCUGUUUGUUAUGAUUUUUUUAUCUAGAUCACUUGCACCGUGUUCCCGUGUAGUGGGGCGUUUACCUGAGGGUCAAGGUGUGGAACAGUGGUGAGGUGAAGGCAGCUGUUAUCGAAGAUAAAGUGGCUAGCAGCGAGUACGGCAAGCUGUUGGCCGUCGAUGUUGCGUAUGGGGAGGAGCAUCCCCUAGUCCCAAGGGAGAGUUCUGGUGUUAAUAAGAAGGGCCAACUAUCAGGGGAUCAUGCUUUUGUGGAUGAUGUCGUGGACCGGGUACUAGCUCAGUUGAGCACAAGGCUGGUCAGUGUGGUUGAGAGAUGUUGCCCGUACUGUGAACAGUGGCUACGAUUCAAAGUUGACGAAGACUAACCCGGAUCAAUUUGAGGAAGAUGUGCACACUAUAUUGACUGCCAAAGGCAGCAACCCGCGUACCAGCACGACAAUUGAAAAUGUCCAGCACAUAAAAAAAAAAUCCCGAAGCUGAAGAAAUCCAAGGCAAAGACUUUUCAUUAUCUGCAGACUCAAUUGAUGGAGUUGGUUUCUUAAACUUUGCAAAAAUUAAAAACAAGAAUGAUCCCACGGACAAGCGGCUGUUGACCAUCCUUCGAGGGUGGAAGGAAUUGAAGGAUGCAAACAUUCCCAGGCCAUCGGUAAUUGAAUGUGGGGGCAGGGAUGCAACUCAGAGGGAUUGCUAUCAGGUUGUUGUUCCUAGAGCCCGUGUUGGUGAUCAAUAUGUGCGGAUGGCAGUCGUGAUGUACGCAUGAGCUUUUUGGGACAGAGAAGAGGAUUAUGUUAGACCCUACAUAUGCGAUAACUGUUACAAAUAAAGAUUCUGCUUGUUUUGAAGUUAUAAAUUAUGGCUCUAAUUAUUCGGUUCCUUGUAUAUGAUGCUGAACUUGGGGAAGAAAGACUACAAGGAUUUGGCGCGGAAGUACGCGAAAGCCUUCCUCGGUAUCCCUGUCAGCCAGAUAAGAUGUGUUUUCUUCCCAGUCCUAGAAUGGACAGUUGAUAAUGCUGAACAUUGGUGGUGUCUAGCCUUUGAUGUCAAGGCUCAACAAAUGUGUAUGAUUGACUCAUUGUACCCUGAUCCUUAUCAAGCACAUGCUGGGGUUGUUAGUGAGCUCGUAAUGUUAUAGUUCUUGUAGAAGUUGCAUUUUUAAUGUGUUGGGUAUAAUCACUUGAAUAUUGGUUUGGCUGACAACGCAGGUUAAGGAUUUUGAUGUCAUGGUGCAGUUGAGUGAUCCGUUGUGAGAAUUAGGCCAAAUUGAAAAAUGGGCUAAGAGAGUAUAUCCGGUUAGGCAGCCCGAUAAGUAAGUUAUGGCCAUUAUUUGUUCAUACUUUUUCUAUAGGGAUAGUUAGUGUUGUUUACCUGAUUGCACAAGUGCGUAGCAAUUUUUAAUAAUUUGAGUAUAAUGUGUUGUUAGGACGUAAAGUAGGUUAUCAUGUUUUUGCAUUGUUAUUAUCAAGAAAUUAAUGAAUUUCAUGAUACUUGUUUAGCUUC